GAAAUUUCCACGUAGGGAUUCGGCUUCAAAAAGCUCGUUCCAACUCUCAAAUGGGCACAUUCGACUAUAAAAACAAUAAUCGAGGUUCCCAAAAAUGAAGAAGGAUGGAAACAGGUUGCAGAGGAAUUUGAAGAAAACUGGAACUUUCAUAACUGCAUAGGGAAUAGUGGUGGCAAACAUGCAGCGAUCCAACAACUCCCCUCCCCCCAUUCUGGGUCUACUACAACUACAAAGGGUUAAUGCAAAUUAUCAAUUUAUGAUGGUCGAUGUCGGAGCGAAUGGGCGAGUGUCAGAUGGUGGAGUGAUGAAGAACACGUUAUUUUGGCGCAAGUUGUCUGAGAAUAAACUAAACAUGACCGAUUCUCGUUACCAGAUUGUCCUAAGCAUGGAGGAUCAUAGAUGUUUGGGAUAUUAACAAAGAGGUUCAAAAUCCUUCAAAACGACCUAAAAUUUGAACAAGUUAAAGCUAGAAAAAUUGUUUUGGCAUGCUGUCAUUUACACAACUACUUCUGCUCAAGAAAUAGUGGAAACUAUAUACACCCCCAUGACGUGUCUAUGGCUAAUGUGGAACCUGGGUCAUGGAGAUAAGGAACUCAAGAGAAGUUACAACUUCAAAGAAGCAAAGGCAACUCGGCAGUUGAAGCAAAGAAAAUAAUGGAUGACUUGCGAAUUCUUCAACACCUAUGGUUCAGUGCCAUGGCAAAACAAUUACCUGAAUAACUAGUGUCAACAAAACUUUUCAGUAGCAUUGUAUUGUGUUUUGAAAUUUUUUCCUUAUUGAAUAAAUAAAACAUUUUUUAAGUCA
rnacentral:lncRNA from 1 species